CGGAGGUGAUGAAGGUUUAUUGCUGACACUGCAACAUGGAGGCAAGAAACUGAUUUAAUGAGGCUGAUCC
rnacentral:snoRNA from 1 species